UAAUACGGAGGGUGCAAGCGUUAUCCGGAUUCACUGGGUUUAAAGGGAGCGCAGGCGGACUUGUAAGUCAGUGGUGAAAUACCUGAGCUUAACUCGGGAACUGCCAUUGAUACUAUAGGUCUUGAAUGUUGUUGAGGUUUGCGGAAUGGGUCAUGUAGCGGUGAAAUGCAUAGAUAUGACCCGGAACACCUAUUGCGAAGGCAGCAGGCUAAACAAAUAUUGACGCUGAGGCUCGAAAGCGUGGGGAUCAAACAGGAUUAGAUACCCUGGUAGUCCACGCCCUAAACGAUGAUUACUCGACAUACGCGAUACACUGUGUGUGUCUGAGCGAAAGCAUUAAGUAAUCCACCUGGGAAGUACGACCGCAAGGUUG
rnacentral:rRNA from 1 species